CGGCCGCGCCGGGAUUGGCCGGCGGUAAUUGGGGGGGGGUGUUAAUUAGGCAAAAUUAACGUGGGGGGGGCUGCGGCGGGGGCGUGCGCACAGGGGCCCGGAGAAAAUUCUUCUGGAGGGGGAAGAGUUAAGGGAAAAUAAUUCUAGAAUUUCAGGAGAAAUGUAAGAAAAGGAUCCAGGAUUUGCCAGAAUAAUGUAAGAGGAGAUAAACUAGUUCGAGAGUGGCAGGAGCCGUACUUGAGAAAAUCAUUCUGGAAUUGCGAGGAAGAAAAUAAUUCUAGGGUUGCAAGACAACGAGUCUAGAUUUGAAAGAGUACAUAAAGUCACUCGAGAAGGGCAAGAAAAAGAAAUUCAGUCUGGAGGGGCAGGAAGCCAAUUCUAGGAUUGCAAGAACCAGAUAAUACUAGAAUUUCAAGAAUAAAUGUAAUCCUGUAUUUGAAAGAAGAUAAAACAAUUAUAGAAUUGCGAGGAUAAAGUGAAAUAGUUCUAAACCGGCAAGAAUAAGGUAAGAAAACAGUUAUGGAAUUGCAAGAAAAUAUUCUAGAGCUGCAACUAUAAAGGAAAAUAGUUCUAGAACGGCAAGAACAAGGUAAUUCUAGAAUUGUAAGAAGGUAAGAAAAGUUAUAGAAUUGCAAAACCAAGGUAAAAUAGUUCUGGAAUUGCAAUAAGAAAAAUUCUAGUAUUGCAAGGACAAGAAAAUUCUAGAAUUGCAUGAACAAAUUUAUUCUACAUCUGAAAGAGGAUAAAAGGAAAACAAUUCUAGAAUUGCAACAAUAAGGUGAAAUAGUUCCAGAACUGCAAGAAUAAGGUAAGAAAACUAUGGAACUCUAAGAAAAAAUUCUGGAGCUGCAAGAAUAAAAUCGUUCUAGAACAGCAAGAAGGUGGUAAGAAAGUAAUUCUAGAAGGAAGUGGCUUCCACAGAGCCAGAUUUAACAUCUUCCACAGUUGUGGGUAAAAUUCCGGCAACUGAAACACCGUCCAGCUGGGGUAAUGCUGCCCGUCACAUGGGCAGCGUAAAUAAAAAAAGUAACUAUAUAAUAUAAAUAAUAUAUUAAAGGUCACAAAGCACUCACAUAAUGCAAAGUGGAAUCAGCACAGCAAAAUCAGACCAAUUAAAGAAUGAUCCCAUCGUUCUUUAAUGGACUAAAGAAUGCAGCGUUCAGGAGUACCAAACUGAGACCCCAACAUCGAGGCUUUUUCCCCCCAAAACGAGAUUAGUGAGGACAGGUUUGAAUUGCAAUUAAAAGCGUCCUCAAACUCCGAGGAGACUGAGCCCUGCAGUACUCGACUCUGACCUUCGCCUCCAACGUUGCAAACAGCUCGAACAGCAGGGACAGGAGCGAUGCUUCUGCGUUGAGGACACAUUUUUUUUAAUGACAGUUUUAUGGCUUGACCUUUGCUGACCCCAGCUAAGCUUUGCGUAACUCCGCAGGUUUCUCCUAAUCACCUGGGUAAAACUGGUGGUUUUCAAGCCUGGCCUUAAAGAAGAGCACGCCUUAAAAGAGAGGCUGCUCUGCAGUGAAGAUAAAAACCACACAAAUGGCCCUACAGUUCCCCACAAGUACGAUAAAUGAGACGAGCUCAACGCGCUGUUAAGAAGUGAGAAAGGGGGAAUCUAAGAAACACCGCGGGCGAGGAAAACCGCUGGAGAUUUGUGCUGUGGCUUUCCCGAACUCUGAAGAAGGGCUUUGGCUCCUCCGCCACCUUCUGGCUGCCUCGGCCGAGCGCAGGCACGGAGCGCAGCGGCUGCCCCGGCUGCUCGUCCCUCUGCAGCCAGCGAGCCCCGAACCCAACUCCCUCACCCAGCACCUUGCUGCCAUCAGAGGCCUUCACCCUACCGAGACAAAUGUUUGCGGCACGGGGAGAGCUUGUUUGCGGGGAUUGCAAAACACUGAGAAGAGGAAGUUGGCUGGAAGUGGUUCUCAAGGCAACUUGUGGGUAUUUUACACCCCUCCGACCCCUCUGCUUGGCUGCACAAGACUUCCCUUUUCUUCAUCUUUUGUUGAAAACGGCGUCUGGAAAGCUCAUCCCUGUGUCUGACCUCCGUGGAGGUGACAGGACUUCACCAGAAGCUGCGUCGGUAGCAACACAAGGCCACGCCAGCUGGGGAAGAACCUCUGCAGGCUCCGACAGCCUCCUGCCCUCCACCAGCUGCUGCAGCCUCAGAGGAGGAAGGGAAGCCAGGUCCGUUUUGGGGAUGACGUUCGCUUCAGAGAUAACGCCAGCCCAGCGCUCGUGUGGGGUUUUAAAAAAAAAAACAACUCAGCAAGACAUGCAGAGCUGUCAGCAAAUUAUUCCCACGGAAAAAACCCUUUCCCACAGCAGACAGCUCCCUUCUCGUGCUGAGAGGUUGUGCUUCUCUUCACGUCAGCCUUUAAACCCCCAGCUGAUCCCUUCUCCCAGCACAGCUGGCUGCCCUCAAGGCUUUGGCCACACAUCUGCAUCUAAAAUUCCCCAAGAAGUCCCACAGGAGGCCAAAUUUCUGCCUCUACUCCCCUCCUCUUAAUCACACACUCCACCUAAGAGGUAUUUUUCCAAAUGAGUAAUCUCCAGGCUGCUGCAAUCAGGAGAUCUCCCUCCCUUUACACCAGCAUUACCAUAUGCCUCUUUAAAACCCCCGUGGUUCGCUCUGCAGCGCUUGCCGACGAUUGGUGUGGAGGUAAACAGGCACACUUGCUUCCUCCUUCACAAAUUCUCCGUAGAUGAAGAGCAACGUAUAAGGAAUGAUUCAUCCAGAUCUUCCUGUAGUUGCUUAAAAGUUACGGUUUUACAGAUGUCAUGUGAAAAGAACACAGUUGAGUUAUUUUGACAUUCGCAGGAGAUGUUAAUGACACUCAGUAUUUCUAAAAUAAAGGUUCCUCUUCCUCAGGAAAAUGUGUCUCUUGGC